CGGGGAUGACGGGCCAGGACUCCAGCACUCCCACCGCGGCGCUCCGCAGGCCCAGGUCCUCCUCCUCUGGAGCAGGGACCUGCCCAGCCCCCAUCCCCUCCUAGAGCGAAGCCUGCAGACCUCGCAGAGGCGCUGCGGCCCAGAACCCAGGAGCCUCCCAGGCCUCCGUUGCUGGCUCUUACCUUGGGGGAGCAGGGAUGGGGUUAGAUGCUGGCCCCCUUACCUUGGGGGAGCAGGGAUGGGGUUAGAUGCUGGCCCUUACCUUGGGGGAGCAGGGGUGGGGUUAGAUGCUGGCCCUUACCUUGGGGGAGCAGGGAUGGGGUUAGAUACCUGGCUUAUGGGACUGACUUCCUUCUUGUGACCUGCACCUGUGCUCCCCAGCACGCCCUUCCCUCCACCUCAGAAGGCUCUGAUGGGGUCCCAGGAUGGUAAUGGAUCACCAUUGAUCACUUGCUGGCCAGAUACCAGGCACUGCUCGAAGUGUUUUACGGGGAUUAUGUUGUUUAACUUUCACAAUAUCUCUGUGUCCCGAGGGGAAGCGGAGGCACAUGGGACACACAAGAGUUGGUAAGUGGCAGAGUCAGGACCCGAGCUCCUAAGACCUCCUAGACAGGCCACACCCCUCUGGUCCUCUAUGUUCAAACAUGUGAAAUGAGGGGUUGAGUGGCUCUCCAGGUUGGUGAGAUAUUGGUGGAUCCAGCGUCCUGGGGACGGCCAGAGAUGAGAGGCGGCUUUCCCCCUGGAGUCUGCAUAAGCAGCUGCCUUCGCCCAGCCACCCAGGCCUGGGGCCUGCAGGAGGACAGAGCCCAGACAGGCCUCACCUUGCAGGCAUGUGUGGUCUUGAGCUCUGCCAGUGUGCUUGCAGGUGGGCCCCUGUGGACAGUGGAGCAGGGGACCUGGUCCUCUGGGGCUGGGGCCUCUCUGGUUAUGACAAGGACCUGGAGACCUGGUGGGACUCUGGAGGCCUUUGGGGGGUCUUCCCUCACCCCCGUCUGUCAGACCUUUCUCUGCAGGGCCUGACCUGUCUCCAGGUGGGCCUGGACUACCCCUGACACUUUGCUUCUCCAGACAUGGGCAGCAGGGUUGGGUGGAUUGCCUGAGUGUUGGAUAAUUUUCACAAUACUUGACUGGAAACCAAGGUGGCCCUCCCCUCCUUGAGGAGGGAUCUGCCCCCAGUUUUCUCGAGAAUAAGCCCACAAAGAAAUGCAGCCCUUCGGUGUUUGCUCUACAUAACGAUGCUAUUGGAUGUCAGUGACACAAAACAGAAGUGCUCCCAGUAGCACUGGCCCAGUGCCCCAAAUGAGAGCAUCUAGCAGAGGCUCCGCACACUGAACACAGCACAGCUUGUCCAGCAAGACCCAACACCACACGUGUCAUGGCACAGCAUGCCCGCUAUCAAAGUGCCCACCAGGGCCUGACAGACAAGCCCGUCUUCUUGACGCAAUUCAGGUCCAUGACAUGUGAUGUGGUGGAAUGAUUAGGAGCAAAACAGUUGUAAACAAAAGCCUGAUCUGUCCAUCAAAACUCAUCCGAUCGUUUUAUGGAAAUAGCUGAUACCAAUCAAGAUGACUUCAGGAAAAUGAAAAGUUUUGGAAACAAAUUAUCUGCAUGCUAUGGAAAAUUGUCAAAAAUUAAGAUUGGCGUCAUGUCUCUCUGCAAAACACCCUCAACAACCUUCACUAAGGAGGAGCCAAAAUAUGACAGGCUGAAGGUCUGGGGUCAAGAAGGCCUGUGCCUGCCACUGCCCAGGGCUUGCCUCUCUGCACUCCUGGGAGAUGGGCAUGCUGGGUGGGCCAGUCGGCCUCUGCUGUGGGACUUUGGCCUCCACUCCAAGGAGCUCAGCAUGUGAGAGGAGGGUCCUUUCCAGCCCUGACAGUCCAGAGCCAUUGCUCUGAAGUAUUUUGAGGCCAGGCGCAGUAACUGAUGCCUGUAAUCCCAGCACUUUGGGAGGCCGAGGCGGGCAGGUCUCCUGAGGUCAGGAAUUUGAGACCAGCCUGACCAACAUGGAGAAACCCCGUCUCUACAAAAACAAAAAAAUUAGCCGGGGUGGUGGCGCAUGCCUGUAAUCCCAGCUACUCGGGAGGCCGUGGCAGGAGAAUCGGUUGAAUCUGGGAGGCGGAGGUUGCAGUGAGCCAAGAUCGCGCCACUGCACUCCAGCCUGGGUGACAGAGUGAGACUCCAUCUUAAAAAAAAAAAAAAAAAAAAAAAAAAAAAAAAAAAAAAAGUUGUUGGAGCUGGGGGUGGUGGCUGAUGCCUGUCAUCCCAGCCCUUUGGGAGGCCGAGGUGGGUGGAUCACUUGAGGCCAGGAGUUCGAGACCAGCCUGGCCAACAUGGCGAAACCCAGUCUCUACUAAAAAUACAAAACUUAGCCAGGCAUGGUGGCCUGCACCUGUAAUUCCAGCUACUCGGGAGGCUGAGGCACGAGAAUCACUUGAACCUGGGAGGCCGAGGUUGCAGUGAGCGAAGAUUGUGCCACUGUACUCCAGCCUGGGUGACAGAGCAAGACUGUCUCACACACACACACAAAAAAAAAAGAAAAAAAAAAAGGCAGGCACGGUGGCUCAUGCCUGUAAUGCCAGCACUUUGGAAGGCUGAGGCAGGCGGAUCACCUGAGGUCAGGAGUUCAAGACCAGCCUGGCCAACAUGGUGAAACCUCAUCUCUACUAAAAAUACAAAAAUUAGCCGGGCAUGGUGGCACACACCUGUAAUUCCUGCUACUCAGGAGGCUGAGGCAGGAGAAUCGCUUGAAUCCCAGGGGGCAGAGGUUGCAGUAAGCUGAGAUCACGCCACUGCACUCCAGCCUGGGCAACAGAGCAAGACUCUAUCUCCCCAAAAAAGAGAAAGAGUUAUGUUGGCGG
rnacentral:lncRNA from 10 species